AUUGAACGCUGGCGGCAUGCCUUACACAUGCAAGUCGAACGGCAGCACGGGAGCAAUCCUGGUGGCGAGUGGCGAACGGGUGAGUAAUAUAUCGGAACGUGCCCAGUCGUGGGGAUAACGUAGCGAAAGCUACGCUAAUACCGCAUACGAUCUAUGGAUGAAAGCGGGGGAUCGCAAGACCUCGCGCGAUUGGAGCGGCCGAUAUCAGAUUAGGUAGUUGGUGAGGUAAAAGGCUCACCAAGCCGACGAUCUGUAGCUGGUCUGAGAGGACGACCAGCCA
rnacentral:rRNA from 1 species